rnacentral:rRNA from 1 species
GACCUCGGAUCAGGUAGGAAUACCCGCUGAACUUAAGCAUAUCAAUAAGCGGAGGAAAAGAAACCAACAGGGAUUGCCUCAGUAACGGCGAGUGAAGCGGCAAAAGCUCAAAUUUGAAAUCUGACCCUUCGGGUCCGAGUUGUAAUUUGCAGAGGAUGUUUCGGGUAAGAUUUAGGUCUAAGUUCCUUGGAACAGGACGUCAUAGAGGGUGAGAAUCCCGUACGUGACCGUUGAUCGCACCCAUGUGAAACUCCUUCGACGAGUCGAGUUGUUUGGGAAUGCAGCUCAAAAUGGGUGGUAAAUUUCAUCUAAAGCUAAAUAUUGGCCAGAGACCGAUAGCGCACAAGUAGAGUGAUCGAAAGAUGAAAAGCACUUUGAAAAGAGAGUUAAACAGUAUGUGAAAUUGUUGAAAGGGAAGCGC